rnacentral:tRNA from 1 species
GGCGAGUGGGCAGGUAGGCUAUGCAGCGGAUUGCAAAUCCGUGUAGACCGGUUCGAUUCCGGUACUCGCCUCCA